GGGCCGACACAGGCCCCGCCUGGCAUAGGCCCGGCCUGAAGCAGGGGCCGCUCCCACAAAGGCCCGGCCCGACUAAGGCCCGCCCGAGAGCCAUACAGCCCGCGCAUGCGCAGAGCGGUCCUGGGUACGUUCUUAGAGCGCGGCGGCGAGGUGAGUGGCAGGUCCCUUCGAUAGCUCAGCUGGUAGAGCGGAGGACUGUAGAGGUUCGCCCCGCGGGAAUCCUUAGAUACGGCUGUUUCUCUCUGAGCGAUCCGGCCUCAUUGCAAACCGAGCCUCUCCGUUGUGGCUCGCUGACUCUCAGGAGCGGCUGUUCCUGCGGGAACUGCGAGUGCCGGGCCUGAUGCGGGACUGCCAACACCCCCCUGAAUUUCUAAAGGAAAACAGGGUGUCCCUGCUACCAUUAUUACUGCCUUCCCAACCCUGGGUCAGGUGACAUUGGCACAAAGGACUGAGUCCUCUUGUAAGAAACUCUGUACCUGUUCAUCUCUCAAAGCAAAAGGAGAAGCCAGAUGUGAUGACUGAGCUGACUUUAGUUUGUGGAGGGAAGGAAGGGGGUUGCUGUCAUCCAUGGUCUUUCACCCCGCUUUGUAACAGCACAAUGAACAUCAUCUUUUCU